rnacentral:rRNA from 1 species
UUCGGGGGCAGCGGUGACAGGUGGUGCAUGGUUGUCGUCAGCUCGUGUCGUGAGAUGUUGGGUUAAGUCCCGCAACGAGCGCAACCCUUAUCCUUAGUUGCCAGCAUUCAGUUGGGCACUCUAGAGAGACUGCCGUCGACAAGACGGAGGAAGGCGGGGAUGACGUCAAAUCAUCAUGCCCCUUAUGACCUGGGCUACACACGUGCUACAAUGGCUGGUACAACGGGAUGCUAGCUCGCGAGAGUACGCAAAUCUCUUAAAACCAGUCUCAGUUCGGAUUGCAGGCUGCAACUCGCCUGCAUGAAGUCGGAAUCGCUAGUAAUCGCGGAUCAGCAUGCCGCGGUGAAUACGUUCCCGGGCCUUGUACACACCGCCCGUCACACCACGGGAGUUUGCAACACCCGAAGUCGGUGAGGU